rnacentral:tRNA from 1 species
GCGCCAGUAGCUCAGCGGUUAGAGCACUGCUCUUAUAAAGCAGGGGUCGAUGGUUCGAAUCCAUCCUGGCGCA